rnacentral:rRNA from 1 species
UACAGAGGGGGCAAGCGUUGUUCGGAAUUACUGGGCGUAAAGGGCGCGUAGGCGGCCGCCUAAGUCAGACGUGAAAUCCCUCGGCUCAACCGGGGAACUGCGUCUGAUACUGGGUGGCUUGAAUUCGGGAGAGGGAUGCGGAAUUCCAGGUGUAGCGGUGAAAUUCGUAGAUAUUCGCAAGAACACCAGUGGCGAAGGCAGCUCUCUGGGACGGUACUGACGCUGAGACGCGAAAGCGUGGGGAGCGAACAGG